CCUACGGGUGGCAGCAGUGGGGAAUAUUGCGCAAUGGGCGAAAGCCUGACGCAGCGACGCCGCGUGAGGGAUGAAGGUCUUCGGAUCGUAAACCUCUGUCAGCAGGGAAGAACGGUCACUGUGCUAAUCAGCAGUGAAUUGACGGUACCUGCAAAGGAAGCACCGGCUAACUCCGUGCCAGCAGCCGCGGUAAUACGGAGGGUGCGAGCGUUAAUCGGAAUUACUGGGCGUAAAGCGCUCGUAGGCGGUAUGUCAAGUCAAGGGUGAAAUCCCCGCGCUCAACGUGGGAACUGCCUUUGAAACUGGCAAACUAGAGUGUUGGAGAGGAUGGUAGAAUUCCAGGUGUAGGAGUGAAAUGCGUAGAUAUGUGGAGGAACAUCAGUGGCGAAGGCGACCAUCUGGAAAAUAACUGACGCUGAGGAGCGAAAGCGUGGGUAGCAAACAGGAUUAGAUACCCGAGUAGUC
rnacentral:rRNA from 1 species